rnacentral:rRNA from 1 species
UACGGAGGGUCCAAGCGUUAUCCGGAUUCACUGGGUUUAAAGGGUGCGUAGGUGGUCAUAUAAGUCAGUGGUGAAAUCCUGCAGCUUAACUGCAGAACUGCCAUUGAAACUGUUUGACUUGAGUGUCGUUGAGGCGAGUGGAAUGUAACAUGUAGCGGUGAAAUGCUUAGAUAUGUUACAGAACACCAAUUGUGAAGACAGCUCGCUGGACGAUAACUGACACUGAGGCACGAAAGCGUGGGUAG